rnacentral:rRNA from 1 species
GACGAACGCUGGCGGCGUGCUUAACACAUGCAAGUCGAACGAUGAAGCCCAGCUUGCUGGGUGGAUUAGUGGCGAACGGGUGAGUAACACGUGGGCAACCUGCCCCAAACUCUGGGAUAACUCCUCGAAAGAGGUGCUAAUACCGGAUACGAACUAGGUAGACAUCUGCACUAGUUGGAAAGUUUUUCGGUUUGGGAUGGGCCCGCGGCCUAUCAGCUUGUUGGUGAGGUAACGGCUCACCAAGGCUACGACGGGUAACCGGCUGAGAGGGCGACCGGUCACACUGGGACUGAGACACGGCCCAGACUCCUACGGGAGGCAGCAGUGGGGAAUAUUGCGCAAUGGGCGAAAGCCUGACGCAGCGACGCCGCGUGAGGGAUAAAGGUCUUCGGAUCGUAAACCUCUUUCAGUAGGGACGAAGCGAAAGUGACGGUACCUAAAGAAGAAGCACCGGCUAACUACGUGCCAGCAGCCGCCGUAA